rnacentral:rRNA from 1 species
UGGGGAAUUUUCCGCAAUGGGGGGAACCCUGACGGAGCAACGCCGCGUGCGGGAGGAAGGCCUGUGGGUUGUAAACCGCUUUUCUCUAGGAAGAAGGUCUGAUGGUACUAGAGGAAUCAGCAUCGGCUAACUCCGUGCCAGCAGCCGCGGUAAGACGGAGGAUGCAAGCGUUAUCCGGAAUAAUUGGGCGUAAAGCGUCGGAAGGCGGUUUAUCAAGUCAGUUGUUAAAGACUGCAGGACAACUGUGGGCGAGCAACUGAAACUGAUGAACUAGAGUGCGGUAGGGGUAGAGGGAAUUCCCAGUGUAGCGGUGAAAUGCGUAGAUAUUGGGAAGAACACCAGUGGCGGAGGCGCUCUACUGGGCCGCAACUGACGCUGAGGGACGAAAGCUAGGGGAGCGAAAGGGAUUAGAUACCCCUGUAGUCC